AUGGCCAGGACCGCGAUGGGUCGCCGGCGGCGUCCGGACCGGAUCAGCGCCCUCUCCGACGAUCUCCUCCUUUUGGUCCUGCGCCGCCUCGACAUCCGGACGGCGGUCGGCACCACGGCGCUCUCCAGGCGCUGGGCUUGCCUCCGCGGCGAGCUCCCCAUCCUCGACUUGAGUGUCGACGCGAUGCUCCCGCCGCGCUACCACCGCUGGGUCCAGCUCCACGGCGUCGUCGGGAAAGGUGGUGGUUUCCAGUACGACCUGCGUCAAGUGUCAAGAGAGCUGAUGCCCAACAUCAGGAGGUACGAGCAUCGCGCCAUGCGCGCUUUGACCAGGUCCGUCCAGAGCUUCUUGGACGCUGGAACCGCCGGCCGCCGGAGGAGGAUCAGUAGGCUGAGGCUCGAGUUCUUCGUCACCCCACAAAGCACCGAAUGCAUGAAUCGGCUUAUAGUCGAGGCCAUGGAUGCUUGUGGGGUGGAUGACCUCCAAGUUGUUGCUAAGCCAAUUUUCUGGCGACGAGGCGCAGUCCACACCUUCGCCAGCCAUGGCCUCUGCAAGGAGCCCAGUGCGUCACGCCUGCAAAGCCUCAAGCUUGGUGGCUGCAUGAUCCCGCCGCUGCACGAGUACGGUGCGCUCACUAGGCUCGUCCUGCAGGACAUACCUAAAUCGACGCCCGUGGCAACCUACCAGGGGGUCUUCAUCUCUUGCCAGCAGCUGCAGGUGCUGCAUCUCAUCUCCUGCCGGUGCAGCGGCGGGGUGAUAUUCGUGGACGCCCCCAUGUCAAAAAUCAAGGAGCUCGUUGUGGAUGACUGCAGAUUCACACAGUUACGUCUAAGGGCUCUGCCCAAUCUCGAGAGCCUAGCCUCCCUCUCCCUGGGACCUACGGUGUUCCUCGAGUCCGCCUCCUUCCCUUGUCUCAGAAAAUUUAACCUCACCUCAUGCCUCGGCGUGACAAUGCAAGGAUUUCGCGAAUACCUGAAGCGACACUGGAAGAUAGACCAUGAGUCGCUUCUCGAAAACAUGCCAGAAAUAUCGAGUCUGAUUGUCAGGAUCAGUGGACCUUACAGAUGGAUCGUGCCGUCCCCGUCGACGACGAUGUUGUUGCCUAACCUGAGGCGGUUGCUGGUCGCCGACGUGCCUUCGUCCUGGGACGUCUCAUGGCCCCGCCUCCUGCUUGAGACGGCGCCUUCCCUGGAGGUCCUCCACCUUCACAUUGCCGCCACUUGCACAGAAGAUGAGCCCAGUGACAACAUACGCUGGAAACCAACCACGCUUCUCCGUCACCAGCACCUGGAAGAGUUUGUGAUGGUUGGUUACGAGGGAACAGAGAGGCAGAUUUACCUUGUCAAGUUUGUAGUGGGAGUAUGCACAUUGUUGCGCCAGGUCUCCAUCUUCAAGAACGGGCAUGCUCGCAACAAGGGGCACUGGGACUGGGAGUUGGUGACGCAGCAACAUUCCUGGACUGACCAGGAGAAGGACAACACACUGAAGCACAUCAUGGAUGGGGUUUCUCCUUUGUCACCUGCUGCUCCGGUUAAACUAGUUUUUGGCUGA
rnacentral:rRNA from 1 species